rnacentral:lncRNA from 1 species
AAUUAAUGCUGCCCUCAGUGGAAUGAGCUGCCUUAUGGAGGGAAGCAAACUUCCUUGGUGAGGGACCUCGGAGGAGAAGCAGCGGGGACGCUUGUCAAGGAUUCGGGGGGAGGGUUUCCACUUCUGCUUCUGAAAUCUAGGUUACAAAAGGCUGCUCCCAAUGAUGAGAUUCUGUUCUUCCGAGUCCCUUCACUGUCAUCUCCCUCGCCGGAGCCCAUUGAAAGGGAGUGAAAAAUUCCUCACACACUCACACACACACACAAUUGAAGGUGACAACAGUAGUUUUAGUUUAAAUUUGAAUAUUUCCUCUAUCAUGUAAUUUUUUUCUUGGAUAGUUGAGUUAAGUUUUCCACAUAUUUACUGUUACAUAACAGACUUAGAGACAUAGAGAAUACAUAUAUUUAUAGUCUAUUGACCUCUUCAAAAUACAGUUUUAACAGCCCCCUUCCAAACACUUAUCUUUAAUGUGUCAAAAUGAUAUCAGGUUCCUUAAAAGAUAAAAUAGCAGAGAAUCCUUCAGUGCUUCGGGGAUGAUCCCAAUAACCAUAUUCAAUGCACCUCUGAUGUAGUUAAUAUCAGGCAUAAGGUAAAACAAGAAGAAAUAUGUUUAACAAAUGUGUUUACUCAUGUCUCUGAAGAGAAGUGCAGGGAACAGCUUGAGUUAGGGUUGCCUUUAGGGUCUCUGGAGGUGACACUGUGCUAAUGGCAUCAAGGGCCUGAAUGUUAUGGAUCCUUCUAAAUUAAACCGUAAUCAAUCAGAAAAAUUUGGCCCAACCAUCCACGCGGGAAAAACCAAGUGGAUGAAGACUAUCUUUUGUCCAAUCAAUGACAUGCAGUUGAAUGGACAGCCUAUAAGCUCAACAGAUAGAAUAGAUAGAUAUGUAUGUGUAUGUAUAUGCAUAUAUAGUAUUUAUAUGUGUGCAUACCUAUAUAUAUGGGUGUGUGUAUGUAUGUGUGUUAUACAUAUCUACCUUUCUAUAUUAUAUAUAUACAUAUGUGUGUAUAUGUAUGUACAUGUGUGUAUCUUGGACAAAUUCGGGAAUUGAGCUCAGAAGUGGACAAGAGAAGGAAGGAAGGCUGAAUUGCCUUGGCAAAUUGCAAAUUCCCCUUCAACCAAAGAUAUCUCUCUUUAAUACAUUCUCCCAAUGUUGUUGAUUGGCUGUUAGUCAGGAUCUCCUGCUAUCUCUGCAUAACGGAACUUGAAGAUCAUCCAGUGGGCAAUGGGAACAUGGACCAUGGGCAGGAGCUGCAGCACGUUGUAGGCAAGAGAUUGCAAAGAUGGGAAAAUGAUGGCGUCCAAGAAAUGUACUGAGGAAAGAGAAGACCGUGGUCACACAGCCAGAGCAAAGGAUAGCCAGUGGUGGAGCUGAGGCUUCCCAAGCUCAAUGUCAAGAAGACAUGAGGAAGGGCUUUGACUUGCUAAGUAAGACCCCUAUCAAUAUUCUAGGGAGAGGACCCAGAUGAGAGAUUCAGGAAAGAUGAGCUUUAUAAUCAUCAUUGAAGGGAAAACCCAUAUAGUUGAGAUCAUGGAUCUAUUUAAGGGCUGAAUAUUUGUCACGUAAGUACAAGAAUAUUCAUUAGAGAGGAGGCUGAGGUUAGGAUAACAACAUCAACAAGUAAAUGCUAGAAACAGCAACAAGAAUGCAGGUAGCCAACAUGUAAAUCUGGAGGCCAGAAUUAUACUCCAGAAGCUCAUUAUCAUUCAUUAACGAACAAGUCCUCAUACUAAAAUACAGAGCUCAAACUAUCCUGGAGAAUUCGACAAACUGUUCUAUAACUGAAGCAUUAUCACAGACAAAACUGUUGGUCACACGUUUUUAAUAGAUAUUGCCACUGAAUAUUCACCAUCUCCCACUUGUGUGGAAUGAAAAAAAAAAUCAAAAUAUAGAGACCUAGCAGAUGGAAUCAAAACCAUGUGAUAACAGGAUGUGGUACAUCCCAUCAUCCUAUCUGCUACUGGUGUUUCUCCACAGUAAGUCUAUAGAAGAUGAGUUUGAAAAUCAAUAAUUGUCCAAUUACAAAAAUAAAAAUUGUAUCCUCCUGUGCAACAAUUUUUAGAAAAUUAGAUAUAAAAGAAAAAUAUUAAGAUAGCAAUUUCCAAGACCAUUUUCUAUCUGUACUUCAUCAAAAAAAUUAAAAUGAUAAGAUGAUGAAAAUAAUCCCAUCUGACAUUUACAUGAUGCAUUAAAGUUUGCAAAACAUAUUGCAUUCAUUUUCUUCUACUUUUCUUGGUUUCUGUCCGUGAUCAGAUGGACAAAGAAAUGAGUGUUUCUUUGUUCAAAACUAACUGACCUCUAAUCUUUCAUCCAACCAAAUGAAGAAUGACAAUACAAAGUCAUUGGGAUGGCUUUUCUCUAUGUCUUUAAACUCUACUUCUUUGAUUCUUGGAUGGAUCCUGGAUUCGCCAGACUCUUUAUUUCUUUUGCCAGAAUAUAUUCUAGCCCUCUACAACUUCUCACCCUGCACAUGUUUUUCCAUAUAUAAAUCCUCUGGAGAGGAUUUUCCCAACACACUGGAGGGCUUCCUCCCCUGGGACUGAGAUUUCGUGACGUUCCUAUAGGAGUUGGACCAUCCACUCUCACUAUAUCUCUGGUUUAUCUCCUUUUUCAGUCAUAUCUGUUUCUGAUCAUGUCUGUAAUGCCCUCAUAAGUGAUCUUUGAUAAAAGGAUGUGGUUGGUUUUCUCUCACAUGUCUUUCCAUCGUGUUUCUAUUGGAACCAUCUAUAACUGUGAUUCUGAGAUCUUAUUAUUCCACAAUUCACGGUAGCCACACAGGGAUAGCUCACAGGAAGAUUAAUUCACUACUUCGAGGAUCAAUGAUUUCAUCAGGGCCUAUUCUCCUUACUCCUACACAGAUUGAGUCUCUUCUGUAAUUUAUUAAAUGAUCUUUAAGAGUUUGCCUAAAAUAUUUGUCAUCUAGAAGCCUCCCACAGCUCAAAAACUUGACUCUUUGGCUCCCAGCAGCACGUGCAGUUUCUCAUCAGAUCCUUAUUAGAACAUUUCUGGCCAGAUCUGCCCAAGCUGGCAUUCCACUGGCAUAACUUCAAGAACCCAUGCUUACUUUUGUGCCACGAGGAGAUGUAACAAGUUGGACUUCCAUGAAGUCAGAAGCAUCGUCAGGAAAAUAUUGAUGUUGGAAAGACCAAGCAUUUAAGGGCUUACCAUGUGCUAAGCACUUCACAAUUGUUAUUUCAUUCGAUCCUCACAACAACCCUGUGGGAUGAUGCUAUUUUUAAGCCCACUUGACAGUUCAGGAAAUUGAGCAGAUAGAGAUUAAGUGAUUUGCCCAGUCUCGCAGCUACCAAGUGUCGAAGGCUGGAGUUGAACUCGGCAGUGAGAACGUUGGCAACAGUAAAAUCCCUUAGGUUUUCAGAGGUAAUUCAGUCUCAAACCUAUUAUCUAUGAUACAAUAUCUGGGUGUGUGUGUAUAAGGGAAUAUAGAUUUGUGUAUACAAAUGCACACACAUAUGCAUGAUGUAUACAUAUAUACAUCUCUGUAAGUAUAUAUCUGUUGAAGACAAAUAGUUCUUAGAUAGAUGGGGCAUAUGUAUGUGGAUCCAUCCGUAUCUAGUGCAAUUACUCAAUAGGCUGCCUCCCCAAGUGUUGGCUAGAAUCCGGGCAGUCUACUUUCUCCAUCUACUUUGUUUUUCCAGGAUGGAUUGCUAGAAUAUCUUCUUGAAUGACCAGAGUUCCCUAAGAAGGCUCUAUAGUAUUCUAGAGCUUAACACAAUCAAUGCAGUAUCAUUCACAAACAGGAGAAUUCAAAAAUCAUUUCUUACCAUUGUUACUGGAUGCCAUCCAUAACAAUAGAAAGCAUUUAAAUUGUUUUUUGCCUUCUUGAUGUCAAAACCCAGCAGAUUGUUGAAAAAAAAUAACCUGGGUCAUGUUUGUAUAUUUAAGAUCUUGUAAAAUGUGUAGAUUUGACUUGAAUUUAUCACUCCAAAUGUUUACUAAAUUAUUUAUGAGCUUUGGUAAUUUCUCUUUUUUUGUUACAAGCAUGCAACUUUUAGUCCAAUAGAAGGGAAGAUCUAUCUAUUAAACUGAAGUAUUUCAUUAUCUUGCCUCAACCAUGAAAUGCAUAAACUGGAAAUAUAGCUGAGACAGGGAAAAACUGUAGCUCUUCAUGGGCUGGUUCUUUGCAUUAAUUUUAGAAGAACUUCAGUUAUUAAUCAGCAUGGAGUGGGAUGCAUCAAUAACAUGAGCAAGGGGCAAGAUGGAGAAAAUUUUUCAGCUCUCAAGUUCCUUCAUAUUAAACCUUUUCAGUGAAAAAUCACAUUGUGAGGAAACUGAAUUCUAUCCAUGUUCAAAGAAAAAAUGGAUCACAAAGCUAUUAAGCAUCAUUUUAAUUUUAACUACAUCCCAGCUCUUCCUCUUUGUACUCAAAUAACAUGGCUAAUUGAAUUGAUGAUAUGUAUAUUAUGUGUGUUGUGUGUAUGGAUACCCAAAGCAAUAAUAGAAUUUGCCCAGGUUUGUUUUUUGGGGGGAGCAGGAAUAAUUUAACAAAAAUUUCAAAAUAUUGAAUUACAUGUUGUAGCUAAUAUUGAAUAAUUAGUUUAUAUUAAAAUAGAAUAAUGUUACAAUUUACUAAUCCUUAAUCUUUAGUGUAAAGUAAAUGUCUCAUCUUCUGGGAUGAUUGUAGAAAAGAUAGUCUCCAUCUAUUUACAAGAUACCUUCAUUUGGAUUAGCAAUUCACAAUUUAUUCCAUUGAAUGUUGUACUCUUCCUCAUGUCUUUAAAAUAGUCAUUCGUGUUUACUAAAAGAAUAUAAUUUUCCUAUAUUAUUUUCUAUUCAAUUCAAGAAUAAAUUCAAUAAACAUGUAUUAAGCACCCACUGUACCCAAUGUUGGUAUUGAGUAUAAAAUGACAAAGAUGGUAAUAUUCCAACGUCCUUUCAAGUCCUCUCUACAUGACUGAUUAUUGUGAUUUAGACCAUCCUCCUAUCAGGUAAGUCCUGUACUGGUUAGCAAGAAUUGCUACAUCCAAGGAGCCUUGAAGGAUAUAUUUAGUAGAAUUUCACAAAGAUCAGUCUUGAUGCUAAUACGAUAGUCUAUCCAUGGACAAUUAAGAGAGAUGUUUUGGAGGUUCCCUUAGUCACCGUCUCUCCCGUGUUUAGUUGCCACAGGUAGUACUGAACUGGGAGGAAAUCAGAUCUAUGAACUAAUGAGCUGAGUGUGUGCAUGUCAGAAUUUGUGUGUGUAUACAAAUGUGUGUCUGACUCUGUCUCAACUGCUUCCUAAGCCAAGUAUAAAUUAUUUUUGACUAUCUGUUGUAUUAAAUUAUCUAUGCCUCCCUUUCUGUCACCAAGCACGGAUCAUCCGAGUUCACUGUGUUCUAGUCAUAUUUGUUUAAUGACUUAGAUGAAUCACAGAAUUUUCAAGUUGGAAGGGACAUAAAUAUAAAAUGAGCUAGGACUGGGUUUGCACAUGUUUCCCAGAAGAGUUUGUGGAGUUUGUGGUGGUAAACUAAAUAGUAUGACAAUGUAAGAGGAAAUGUAGUAAUCACUGUGUUCCAUAGAGUGUCUCAUCAAAGGAGAUUCUUUGCUUGAUAAAAUAAAGGUUGGACCAGAUGAUCUCUAAGGUCUCUUCCAACUCUGAUGAGCAAGAUGGAUUCCCCAUAGCUGUGUAUAUGAAAAACAAGGUUAGGUACCCAUCUUCCUGGAGUGCCAUCAUGGGCAGGGCUAACAGACUCGACAUCUUAUCAGUAAGCAUUCUAUUUCCACCACACAAACACACACAGAACAUGCUGCUAUUAAUAUUUCGGCAUAUAAGGCAUUGUCGUUCCCCGGGUCUCUGAACUUCUUGGAGCAUUUUCCCAGUCGUGGUAUUGCUAGUAAUGCUAUCAAUGGAUAUGUACAGUUAUUGCUUUUCUACUAUUAUUCCAAAUAGUUUUCUAGAAUAGUAUGACUAAAUUGUUACCUCUCCUAUAAGACUGUAAGCUCCUCGAGGGCAGGGUCAAUCCUUAACCUCUUUUUGUAUCCUCAGUUCUUAGCACAAUGCUUGGCACAUAGUAGGCACUUAAUAAAUGUUUAUUGAUUGUUCAAUUAAUUAAAUUUCUAGGUCUACUAACAUUGUAUUAGUUUGCUUGUCUUUGUACAGCCCUUCCAACAUUCACCAUCAUCCUCUUUUAUCAUCUUUGCCAAUCUUAUUGGAAUCAAGUGAAUUUUAAGUUAUUUUAAUUCACAUUUAUAUUAUUAUUCAUUAUUUGAAAUAUUUUGAUAUUUUACAUUUUAAAAUUUUCUAUUCAUGAUCACUAAACAAUAUGUAUUUAUAUUAUUUUCCUGUAUAUCUUAGCUAGAGAACUUUUUUCAGAUAUUAUUUACUACAAAGAUUUUUUUUCUACAAUCAAUAUCUUCAUUUCUUAGUCUAGCCAAAUUGAUUUUGUUUGUGCAAAAGCACUUUAAGUUUAUAUGAUCAAAAUUGUUUAUGUUCUUCAAUGAUUCUAUCUGUCCUAUGUUUAAGAAUUUUCCCUAUAAUCCUAAUUAUAAAAAGUUCCUUCUUCCACUCUCCUCUAAUUGUUUUGGAUCUUAAGGGAUUAUAUAGUAUCAAUAAACAUUUAUUAAGCUCCUACUAUUUGCUACUCAUUAUUCUAAGUGCCAGAUAUAAAAUGAUUGCUUUCAAGUUUUCCUUGUUCUUGUUGUAAAGGGACUCUAUAUCUGUAUAUAGUUCAUGUUCUUGUAGUUAUAAAAUACUAAGCUAAUGGGUUUGAGGACUUCUGAUUCUUGCCUACUUCAAUGAGUUUCAUUCAUCAACUUUUCAGUUAUUAAACCCAUACCAAAUAAUUUUGUCAAGGCUUAUAAGGAACA